rnacentral:rRNA from 1 species
CCUACGGGAGGCAGCAGUGGGGAAUUUUGGACAAUGGGCGCAAGCCUGAUCCAGCAAUGCCGCGUGAGUGAAGAAGGCCUUCGGGUUGUAAAGCUCUUUUGUCAGGGAAGAAACGGUGGGGGCUAAUAUCUCCCACUAAUGACGGUACCUGAAGAAUAAGCACCGGCUAACUACGUGCCAGCAGCCGCGGUAAUACGUAGGGUGCAAGCGUUAAUCGGAAUUACUGGGCGUAAAGCGUGCGCAGGCGGUUUUGUAAGUUUGUCGUGAAAUCCCCGGGCUCAACCUGGGAAUGGCGAUGAAGACUGCAAGGCUAGAAUCUGGCAGAGGGGGGUAGAAUUCCACGUGUAGCAGUGAAAUGCGUAGAGAUGUGGAGGAACACCGAUGGCGAAGGCAGCCCCCUGGGUCAAGAUUGACGCUCAUGCACGAAAGCGUGGGGAGCAAACAGGAUUAGAUACCCUGGUAGUCCACGCCCUAAACGAUGUCUACUAGUUGUCGGGUUUUAAUUAACUUGGUAACGCAGCUAACGCGUGAAGUAGACCGCCUGGGGAGUACGGUCGCAAGNUUAAACUUAAUUGAAUUGACGGNNGNGNGNGCGAGCGACGACGAGGAGAGG